rnacentral:misc_RNA from 1 species
UUUUUUUUUUUUUUAUUUUUUUUAUUUAAAUUUUAACGUUUGAUUUGGAAAUGCCGGCUCGCCGGUCGAGGCCGGAGGAGCAAGAUGAGGCAAAGCAUCUCCGGCGUGACCCUUACGAGGUCCUUGGCGUCUCCAGGAACUCCUCCGACCAGGAAAUCAAGAGCGCGUACCGCAAAAUGGCUCUCAAAUACCAUCCUGACAAAAAUGCAAAUGAUCCUGAAGCAGCUGAUAUGUUUAAAGAGGUUACUUUUUCCUAUAAUAUCUUGUCUGAUCCAGACAAGCGGCG